rnacentral:misc_RNA from 1 species
AGAUGAUGUCUUAUUGCACACUAUAAUGUGUUCAUUAUUCUUAGGGAAAAGAUGGACAGAAUUCACAGAUGCAUCGCCACCCCUUAAAGGAGGAGGUGGUCUAAAUGUCUGCAAACACUCUGUAGUUUUGGCAUCCCAGACCUUCACUGAGCCGUCACUAGAUGCGGUGAUGACUCGAGAUCCAUCAAAGGUAAAGAUGGCAUCAUUCACAUAAGAAGAAUGUCCGCGGAAUUCUUUUAACAAUUUACCUGACUUCAGGCCAUGAAUUCUCGCUGUGCUGUCAAAGGAUGUGCUUAAGAUCUGAGUUCCAUCUCGAGAGAAGACAAGACUGGUGACACCCUGAGAAUGUGCACGUUCAAGGCGACGCAAGCACUGACCAGUCCUUAUGCGCCAGACCUUUAUUUUUCCAUCUUGUGACCCAGACGCGAGCAUCUCCGAGUCUCUGCUAAAAUCAACACAAAGGACAGCAUCAUCAUGCAUCAUAAAAGUUUCAUCAGCCUGAUAUUGAAGAUCCUUCUUCAGUUUUCCACUUAUGUGAUCCCAGACCUCAAUAAAUCCAUCAACUGAGCAUGAGACAAGAAAUUGUCCAUCCGGUGAGAACCUAGAACAUUCUGGAUGACUCUUCUUACCAAACUUAAUAGUGUGACCAAGUGUUGUCGGAUACAUAUCCUCUUCAUCUUGUUUCAUAGCAGCUGUUCCUCGGAAUAGAUCAAACUGUGUUCCAGGUGGAAGUAAACCUUGAUGUUGUUGCCAUUUCAAGGCUUGACCAAUCAAAGCCAUUAGGCGUGAUGGUGGAACAACAGAAACCUCAGCAGAAAGCGCUUGGGAAAUUUGGGCACGCCUUUUCUCCUUGGUUGAGUCAUUAUAA